ensembl:lncRNA
GUCUACUAUGCCCACUUGUUGGAAGUAAUGUUGCUACAGUGCCUGAGAGCCCAUGGGUGAUAAAUCUGAUGCGUUAGUCUCUGCAGAGCUGAAGGCAAGAUGAUCUUUCCUGCUCCCAUCAACUGAUUUUUUUUUUUUCUCACUGAGAAGAGAGACUGAUGAGAGACAGGCUGAUUCUGACUUAGAACACAUGCCAGCACUGAUUUUGAGGAGAAGCUGCUGGUGAAGCAACUCCAUAGCUCCUUGUGGCUCUCCCACAUCCUCUUUGCAGAAGGUUCUGAGCACACGGAGGCUUCUGCUGAUAAACGUAUGCAGCUUUCAUCACUGAGGCACUGGUAGGGGGGAGCAGCUCCUCCUCUUCACUCCCCAGGAGACCACAGUGUGAAGACUAUGACAGCAGAGCAGGCAUGGAUAUGUCCCAUCUGCUGUGGUGUGCAAAAGAACAUUGCCUAUACCGUACUAUGCCAUCAUGAGUUCCAUCUGUGCUGCAUCCUGCAGUGGGACAGGCGGAAGGAGAGCUGCCUGGUCUGCAGGAGGGUCAUGACUGUCAUUAAGGAUGCUGUGUGGGAUGAUGAUGAUGACCUG